CUAGGGAGUGGCGCCAUUUGGAGGUGUGACCUAGUUGGAGUAGGUGUGUCACUGUGGGUGUGGACUUAACACUCUCACCCUUGGUGCCUGGAAGUCAAUCUUCCACUAGCAGCCUUUGGAUGAAGACAUAGAAGGCUCAGCUCUGCCUGUGCCAUGCCUGCCUGGAUGCUGCUGUGCUCUCACCUUGAUGAUAAUGGACUGAACCACUGAACCUGAUACAAAGUACGUUCCUGAACCAAAGAUGCUAGAAUAUACUAGUGAAGGCUCUAUUUAGGCAUCAGCUCAACUUCUUCAUGUUCAACGAGGCUUGUAAGUGUUAUCAGCAAUGGGGCCUUGCCAUUGGU
rnacentral:lncRNA from 1 species